rnacentral:rRNA from 1 species
ACGGGCGUGGAGACUACGUCGUUUACCCUUCGGGGACAGGAGACGAGGUGGUGCAUGGUUGUCGUCAGCUCGUGUCGUGAGAUGUUGGGUUUAAGUCCCGCAACGAGCGCAACCCUAUUGCCAGUUGCCAGCAAGAAAGAUGGGCACUCUGGCGAGACUGCCGUUGACAAAACGGAGGAAGGUGGGGACGACGUCAAAUCAUCAUGCCCCUUAUGUCCUGGGCUACACACGUACUACAAUGGCAGCAACAGAGGGCUGCGAGGCCGCGAGGCCAAGCGAAUCCCGAAAUGCUGUCUCAGUUCAGAUUGCAGGCUGCAACUCGCCUGCAUGAAGUCGGAAUUGCUAGUAAUGGCAGGUCAGCAUACUGCCGUGAAUACGUUCCCGGGCCUU